UUAUGGGGUUUUUUUAAAGCCUCAGCUCCUGGAGACAAGUGAAUGCCUGAGAAUUUCAGAUUUCAUUAAAAACACAAGCAGGUUACCAGAAGAAAGUUAACGAUGCCAGUUUUCACCAGGAGCAUCGAAAACCCUAGUGUUCUAGUCAGCAUUCCCUCUUCUCAUGGAAGCCGAUUCUAAUGGGGCUGUGUUGCCAGGGAACUGAGGAAGUAGGAGCUCUAGAGCCAGUGCAGAAUCACAGACUUUGAUGGAACUGGACUCCAGCAGAUCCUUCUAAACCUGUGGGAUUUCUGGGAAGAACGAAAUCUUCUCAGAGAAUGAUCAGGUGGAAGCACCAGGAGAGAACUUUGAAGAGUUUUUCUCUUCUUUGGUACUUUUUGUUCUUUGUUUUUUCAUGAUUGGGAUACUUCAUGGCACACUGUAAUUUGGCAGAGUGUAGUUUUCUUGGGUUUUCAGAGGGCAUUUUAAAAUAGAAUCUGACUUGGUAGGUGUGAGACUAGCAAUUGUGGUUUAGAUAGAACUGUUUUCUUAUAAGAAAUUGUUUUAAGUUACAGUGGGCAUGUUUUACUGACCAAAAGGAUGUCGGUAUUAAAGAGGGGAAGGGAUGCUACUACUAAUGACUACAGUUUCACAAGUAUCAUUAAUGAGUCUAAUAUUUUCUAAACUGCUUUGUAAAUUAAUUCUACAGGGAAGAUCUACAAACAUAGGUUCAAGUGUGCAGAUGGUAUUUGAAAAAGUAGCCAAAGCCAGCAUAUAAAAUAGAGGAAUGAGAUGUAAUGCAGAAAGACUCAGUCUCCUGGU